UAUCUCUCUUAGGUUCUUCUUUGUGUACAAAAAUAAAUCGCCUUUCCCAAGGUUCUGCAAGUCUGACCCUAAGGGAGAAAAAAGGGAACCAGAAAUGAUAAAAGCGUCACACCGCCCUGACUCAGUCUCCUGGUUCCCUCCCAGAGCGACCAGUCAUUCAGGCCCAGGCAGGAGGAAGCCAGGGCACCCACCGACCACGCUGGCGUUUGCCUCAGGCGGGAAGGCAAGCGCUCGGAGACCCCCGCCCUGGACGUCGCUUACUGACUGCAACAGCCCUCCCUGGAUGAGUGGAAGUCCGUAGAAAGUCCAGAAAACACCAGGUAACCCCCUCAAAACCAUCACUCAGGUAAAAACGGACACAUCUGAGGACUUUUCAGGACCGACCCACACCUUUUACAGCUGCUUCUGAUUGGAGUCUUGCUUCAUGAACAAAAUCCGGUAAGCUCAACAGUGCAAGUAAUUCCAACCCUGAGAGCACGCUAGCUCGCUUCUCCCUGGGAACAUGGAAGCAUUGUUCAGCAUGAUGCCAUUCAGUGCAACCCAGGUAAAUCACAGCCAAUCAACAAACUAUUGCAAUUCUACCGAAUUCAUAGGCCUGGAGAUGUGAACCUUAAUCAAAUCUAACUCUGGACUUAAGCUUUGAAUGUAUUAGAGGAGAAACAAGUGAAUAAGUACGAGAGAGGGGGAGUUUGGGGCAGUUGCGUGGAAGAGGGAGAAGGUGUGUCGGGCAGAGUCGUGCAGAAUGGACAUGGACUGGAAGGGCUGCAGCGCUGUCCCGGGGAAGCUGACUCAGAAGAUGCAUGUGGGAGCUGAAAACAGACUGAGCCCCAAUUUGUGAUCCCCUGAGUAGCCCCGCUCACAGGUAUGAGCCAGAUUUGGGAUGAGCUAUUUCAGGUUAUUCCCAGUGUACAGCAAGUGCUGCCGGAGUUGUGGAUUUGUUUGUGGCUUAGUUUUGUCUUGUUUUUGGUGGCUUUGAGUCCAGAGCUGGAGACCGGGCCCCACACACUGGAUCACCUGCUGGACCAUUGAUUGGCACCUCACCAGGGCUCCCGUGCACAGAAACAGGAGCGAGUCUCUUCUGCAGCCCUGUUAAGUAUAAAGCAGGGAGACACUGUAAAAAUAUAAGAUGAGUAAUCACACAGCGAGACAUCGUAAACUCAACCCUAACAAGAUUCUCAGACGUCGGUGCUUGGGAGGCACAACUGGGGAGCCGUCAACAGUAGGGAUCUGGGCCUGUUGGGAUAUAUUACCAUGACAGUCGGGGAGCACCCUCUGGGGCUGGGGCCACAGGAGCAGGAAGCUGAGGCCGGAGCAGAGCCGGCGUACUGACCAGGGCUCUUCAGAGAAACCGAGUCAGUCGGGGGGCAGAAGUGGCUCCCCGGAUUUCGGGGACUGGGGACUCGCAGGUCUGUGGGGCGGGCGCCCAGCGGGAGAGCCAGUGAUUCAAGGCUCAGGCCCGGGUGCCCCAGGCUGCACCCUGGUGACUUCGGAGGUCAGUCUACACUGCUGCCUCGGGCUGUAGGGACCCAUGCCACAGGGGCUCCUGAGACCCUAGGGACUUCCUCUCCCAUGUCCCUCUCCACUCUGAGGCCACACCUGGACUCCUCGGGCUGCCAGUGCGGCGUCAGCGUGCAAUUCCAGUUGAGAGAUUUACAAUCAGACGAGCCCAGGCAUGUGGCCUGGCGUGUGGUAGGUGGUGGAUGGUGUUAGCACCAGAGCCUGCAGCAGGAGUGGGGGCUGCGUGUCCUUCGGACUUUCAUUGCAAUGAGAAGGUGUCCCGGUCCGGCUCUCUGCCUGGGUCCUGCUGUGCAGGUCCUCAGAGGUCAGAGGCUGGCGGGUGGGGAUGAUGCAGGACACCCAGGGCCUCCGCCAACGCAUCAGCAUGGCUCCGACCCAUGCUGAACCUUUUUACAUCAGCAAAGCGCACAGGUCAGGCCCAGACAGGAGCAGAGCUCGGGCAGCUAGCCGGGACCGGGCAGUAGCCCAGAUGUAGCCCUGGCCAGAGCUCAGCCUUGGAUACAAGGAAGAAUUUGAAUGUAGUCAAUUUAACUCUAAAUAGACAGCAUGCAUUUGGGGCACAUCUAAGUCGGGGUGGUCUUCUCACCUGACAAGGGAGCAGCCAUACAUCUCCAUGGACACACGUGCUGGGCACAAGAUGCCCUGCCGUGCCCCCGGUGUGCGGCAGGGCUGACGAAUGCUUUCUCAGCACUGACUCCUGCCUCGACCCGGAGGGCAGCACCAGAAGACAGAAGGUCGGUCUUGCCACAGCCCUCGUGUGACCGUGACUGCAGCCUGCCCGCCUGGCACCCUGGAGCACAGAGCCAGGGGAGCUGGGUCCUACCGGGGCAGGAGGCAGGGCUGACGGGGAAAAGGCCCAGCCAGAGGUCCGUUACCAUCCUGUCCUGCCUGAUUUCCACCCUAAGGGGCCUGGAGCUCUGCCUGGCUCCGGUUCACCUUCCUCACUGCCACCUCAGGGCCCUGGGUCUCCUGCGGGCAGCCUGGGCCUCUCAGGGCUCACAAUCAUCAGCCAGAGAUCAAGGGCCACAGGGGCUCAGGCAGGGCUGCCCGGCCAAUGCUGUGCUCUGAACCCGGACAGCAUGGCCCGGCCGUGCUCCUGGGACUCCGCGCCUGCUCCUGGACAGUGCCGCUCUGCGUGCCUCUGUGGUUUUGCUGCAGACCCAGACUGGCUUGGUGGAGUCUGGCAACUGCCCCUUCGCAGCCAGGUGACCCCGGCAGGGCAGGCCGUGUGACCUCUCCGUACCUCCAUUCUGUCAUCUGUCGAUCACUGUUCGCAUGAACAGAUCCGCCAGCCAGCCCGGCAGGGGAGCCUGCAGCUCAGGGCCCAGCCCAGGUGGGCAGGUCCUGGGGUAUCUUGGGGGUCGCCUAAGGCCAGCGCUGGCAUGAUGGGGAGAAUCCGCUGCAAAGCCCUGCAGACAGGAGGGGCUGUGGCACCACUGUUGGACGGAUCCAGGCGGGGGGCUGCCCUUCGUUCCCAGCUCCAGGGAAAGG
rnacentral:lncRNA from 1 species